rnacentral:rRNA from 1 species
UACGAAGGUCCCGAGCGUUGUUCGGAAUUACUGGGCGUAAAGCGUGCGCAGGCGGUUUUGUAAGACAGGUGUGAAAUCCCCGGGCUUAACCUGGGAACUGCGCUUGUGACUGCAAGACUCGAGUACGGCAGAGGGGGGUAGAAUUCCACGUGUAGCAGUGAAAUGCGUAGAGAUGUGGAGGAAUACCGAUGGCGAAGGC